GACGUAGGGCGCAAGCGUUGUCCGGAUUUAUUGGGCGUAAAGAGCUCGUAGGCGGCUUGUCGCGUCGACUGUGAAAACCCGCAGCUUAACUGCGGGACUGCAGUCGAUACGGGCAGGCUAGAGUUCGGUAGGGGAGACUGGAAUUCCUGGUGUAGCGGUGAAAUGCGCAGAUAUCAGGAGGAACACCGGUGGCGAAGGCGGAUCUCUGGGCCGAUACUGACGCUGAGGAGCGAAAGCGUGGGGAGCGAACAGG
rnacentral:rRNA from 1 species